rnacentral:misc_RNA from 1 species
CAGUGUGGGGGCUUGCUCCCGAUAGCGGUAUAUCAGUCACAACAUUCCUGACUGAUCCAUUGCAAUCGGGAGCAAGCCCCCUCCCAC